GAUGAACGCUAGCUACAGGCUUAACACAUGCAAGUCGAGGGGCAGCAGGAUCUAGCAAUAGAUUGCUGGCGACCGGCGCACGGGUGAGUAACACGUAUCCAACCUGCCGAUAACUCGGGGAUAGCCUUUCGAAAGAAAGAUUAAUACCCGAUGGUAUAAUCAGACCGCAUGGUCUUGUUAUUAAAGAAUUUCGGUAUGCGAUGGGGAUGCGUUCCAUUAGGUAGUAGGCGGGGUAACGGCCCACCUAGCCAACGAUGGAUAGGGGUUCUGAGAGGAAGGUCCCCCACAUUGGAACUGAGACACGGUCCAA
rnacentral:rRNA from 1 species